AGUGCCAUCUGCCGGAUUAUGCACAGUGUCUCUGCCUUGACCUUUGUGUAAUCGUUCAACAAUAACAAACCCUUUCAGCUUCUAAAAAACCACGGUAAGACAAAUCCCUCAGAAAAUAACCCGUCGUCAGAGAAAGAAGAGCUGGCUAAGAGCCUAUGUGUCGUUUUUCUCAGUUGAGCUGAAAGGAUUGGCAGCAUUGUUCAUGAAAUUCAGAUGUUAGGGUUAUCAUCUUCUAAUUAAAGCAGACAGUGGACCGGGCUUUGUUCAGGAGCCGGACAGAAAUUUAAACGGACUGUGUAAAGCUGUAAAGAGGCUCCCGAGGGAUCUCAUUAUGAACUAUAUGAAGAGAGCCCAUCUGCACCAAGGCAUUGUCUUCAUUCUGCUGUAAAGAUGAGUUCUUGGCUGCUUGCUGUGUCAUGGCAUUUCAACACCAUCAAAAAAUCAUUACAGAUCAGAGAGGAACAGGAAGAUAGACAUGUCAGAUGUUAGACAUACAUUAUGUCACACAGAGUAAUGCAGCACCUCCUCAUGGUCUUCAUGAUCUUCUGAUGCAUGCUUCUCCAGAUAGUCGGUCUAAGUGUUGGAAGAUGCUCUCCUCAGGUUGAGAUAUGGCAGAGAUGAGCUCCUCACACUCAUGAGCUGUCAGCAGCUCCACCAGGCGCUCCAGCUGAUUAUUGCUGCUGCUGCAAAGCAAGUACAGGAACUUGCUACUGCCAGUACAUACGCUGAUACAGUGCAGUGAGUAUUACUGCUGCUGCACAAAUAGCAUAUAUAAUAACCUGUAGCAGAUCUAAACGGGUGGAGCUGGGGAAGGUGGAGGGUUUCAGAGGAACUGUGAAAGCAUGCUGCGAAAUGCUCUGGUGGAUGCUAACCAGCCAUUUAAAUGUAAAGCAGCAAGCUCACUGGCUGCGUAUGAAACAUUAACUAAUCAGCUUGUGCCAUGUAGUUUAACGCUGUGAAUAUCAUCAGUUUGCGUUAGGGACCCAUCAGCCUAUGCCGUCUAGAGUUUCCAUAGGCGGAAAUCCCGGGGGCGUCGGGGGGAACAGGACCCCCCCCAUCUGAGGGUUGUCCCCCCUAAAAAUAUGAUUAAAAACCACGCUGUGUAUUGCAAAUAACUAUGUUUUAUACUUUAAAUGUAAGUAGUAAAGCAACACAAACGCAAACGGUGCAAAAAUGCGUUUUAAGUUUAGAAACAUUUUGAGUCUCCCCCUCUCUCUCCUCACAGUGCUUUGGUCCAAAUGCCUGCUUUUCUCUUUUACAUCACCUCAGUGUUGCCAAUUGGGCUACUAACGCUGUUGCCAUGGGUUGUUUUUCAUGUCCGCAGGUUGAAGCGACCCCAAUAAAAUGAUAUUUAGCCCCUGUAAUGUGAAUUUUGCCGGACAAACCCCGUUGAAAAACGUGUAUUUUACUGCCCGGAACGCGAUUUUUACCAGGGCACCCCCAUCGAAACACGAUUGGGCUAGUUUGAGUAGCAAUUGGCCGGGUUUUGUUGCGAAAACCUGCUAACCCUGCAUCACCUACGGUGAGCGAGAACAAAGUCAAUAGUUAUGGAACUCGGCUGUCAAGGCUAUUAUAUUCACUUAAACGUCAGAUAAAGUGAUUAUUUUCUCUUUAAUACAGAUGAUGCCGAUGUAUUUUUCCGAUGGGUCCGCUAUGUUAGCAAUAAUAACGUUACCUGCUUGACAGAUAGCAAUGUCUACAACGGACAACAGCUUGAAGUUGUCUAAUU